rnacentral:rRNA from 1 species
AGCGAACGCUGGCGGCAGGCCUAACACAUGCAAGUCGAACGAACCUUUCAGGGUUAGUGGCGGACGGGUGAGUAACACGUGGGAACGUGCCUUUAGGUUCGGAAUAACUCAGGGAAACUUGUGCUAAUACCGAAUGUGCCCUUCGGGGGAAAGAUUUAUCGCCUUUAGAGCGGCCCGCGUCUGAUUAGCUAGUUGGUUGAGGUAAUGGCUCACCAAGGCGACGAUCAGUAGCUGGUCUGAGAGGAUGAUCAGCCACAUUGGGACUGAGACACGGCCCAAACUCCUACGGGAGGCAGCAGUGGGGAAUCUUGCGCAAUGGGCGAAAGCCUGACGCAGCCAUGCCGCGUGAAUGAUGAAGGUCUUAGGAUUGUAAAAUUCUUUCACCGGGGACGAUAAUGACGGUACCCGGAGAAGAAGCCCCGGCUAACUUCGUG